rnacentral:lncRNA from 1 species
AUGCUUCUGGACCAGGGGCGGGGCGUGUGUGAGAAAGUUCUCCCCUCACCUCUUCUCUUGAAUUUUGUACUUUAUGGGGAUUACACGUGUGUACAUGGAGAAGGGCGUCCCCACCGAGAGGUGUCCCUCAGCCCCACUUUGGACGGGCCAGGCUGUCCCCGUGCCACCCUGGGCCGCCCGAGGCCCCACGAGGCCCCAAGGUGCUGCUCUCCUGGGGCAGGAGCGAGGCCCGCCCUCCACCUUCUGGGCGCCUUUCCACGCCUGCUUCGUGGCCUCCGUCCGCGGGGGCAGCUGCCCGGACUGCCCAGCAGCGGGGCUGCGGCUCGGGCCCCUUCCUGCGCGCAGGCCGACAGCCGGGACACCCCCGCCAAGCGCGCUGGCCUUCACCCUGUCCUGCAGCCCGCACCCCUGCGCCACUCACGGGGCCGCAACUCCAGGACAAGAGGUCACGUGGCACGGCCGCCACCCGGGCCUGGCCUCGCCCCGCGCUCCUCCGUCCUCCUACUGCCCUGCACCUGCCGCCUCGCGCCCCAGCCCCACUCCUGCGGCCGGUGGUCCCACCAGCACCCCCCAUCACCCCGCCCCCUCCCUCCCCUCCCCUGCCCCUGGGCUUCCCGUGCCCCCACCCACCUCUCCCGUCCCCUAUGCAGCCCCGCCCCCUCCCAUCCCCCUCCUGUGCCUCCUGGCCCCGCGCCCACAUCCGGUUGCUGGCCGCUCCGUGCCCCCCCGCCCCUCCCCUCCCCUGCCCCUGGCCUUCCUGUGCCCCCACCCGCCCUCCCUUAUCCAGCCGCGACCCACUCCCAUCCCCCUCUAGUCCCUCCCCGCGCGCCCAUCCGGCUGCUGGCGGCCCCGUUCCAACCCCGUCCCUCCCGCCCCGCCUCCCUUCCCCUCCCCGCCCCCCUCCUUUCCCCUCCCCUCCCCUAUCACCCUACUUCCAGUCCCUCCCCGCGCCCGCCUCCGGCUGCUGGAGGCCCUGUGCCCACCCCUCCCCUCCCCUUCCUUCCCCUCCCCAUCGCCCCGCCCCCAGCCCGCCCCCACUGCCUCCCACCUCCAGUCCCUCCCCGCGCCCCGCUCCGGCUGCGGGCGGCCCCUUGCCCCGUCGCUCCCCGCCCCUCCCCAUCGCCCCGCUCCCGCCCCGCCCCGGUCCCCUCGGGGCUCUCCGCACCUCGC